rnacentral:rRNA from 1 species
GAAAAACCAGAAAAGAAAUGGGAAAAAAAAACAA